rnacentral:rRNA from 1 species
UGGGGAAUAUUGCACAAUGGAGGGAACUCUGAUGCAGCGACGCCGCGUGAGUGAUGAAGGAAUUCGUUUCGUAAAACUCUGUUCUAUGGGAAGAAAAGGACUGUACCAUAGGAGAAAGCUCCGGCUAAAUACGUGCCAGCAGCCGCGGUAAUACGUAUGGAGCGAGCGUUGUCCGGAAUUAUUGGGCGUAAAGGGUGCGCAGGCGGCUUUACAAGUUGGAUGUGAAAUAUUGUGGCUCAACCACAAACGUGCAUCCAAAACUGCAAAGCUUGAGUGAAGGAGAGGUAAGUGGAAUUCCUGGUGUAGCGGUGGAAUGCGUAGAUAUCAGGAGGAAUACCGGUGGCGAAGGCGACUGACUGGACUUAAACUGACGCUCAGGCACGAAAGCGUGGGGAGCAAACAGG